rnacentral:rRNA from 1 species
UGAGGAAUAUUGCGCAAUGGGGGCAACCCUGACGCAGCAACGCCGCGUGAGUGAGGAAGGUUUUCGGACCGUAAAGCUCUGUCGAGCGGGAAGAAAUGUAUCGUGGCUAAUAUCCAUGAUAUUUGACGGUACCGCUAAAGGAAGCACCGGCUAACUCCGUGCCAGCAGCCGCGGUAAUACGGGGGGUGCAAGCGUUGUUCGGAAUUAUUGGGCGUAAAGCGCGUGUAGGCGGUUUGUUAAGUCUGCUGUGAAAGCCCUGGGCUCAACCCAGGAAGUGCAUUGGAUACUGGCAGACUUGAAUACGGGAGAGGGUAGUGGAAUUCCUGGUGUAGGGGUGGAAUCUGUAGAGAUCAGGAAGAAUACCGAUGGCGAAGGCAAGCUUCUGGCCGAUAACUGACGCUGAGGUGCGAAAGUGUGGGGAUCAAACA